rnacentral:rRNA from 1 species
UUUUUGGCGGGCGUGCUUAACCAUGCAAGUCGAACGGUGAAGCAGAGCUUGCUCUGUGGAUCAGUGGCGAACGGGUGAGUAACACGUGAGCAAUCUGCCCCGGACUCUGGGAUAACAGUUGGAAACAGCUGCUAAUACCGGAUACGAGCUAGGAAGGCAUCUUCACUAGCUGGAAAGAAUUUCGGUCUGGGAUGAGCUCGCGGCCUAUCAGCUUGUUGGUGAGGUAAUGGCUCACCAAGGCGUCGACGGGUAGCCGGCCUGAGAGGGUGACCGGCCACACUGGGACUGAGACACGGCCCAGACUCCUACGGGAGGCAGCAGUGGGGAAUAUUGCACAAUGGGCGAAAGCCUGAUGCAGCAACGCCGCGUGAGGGAUGACGGCCUUCGGGUUGUAAACCUCUUUUAGCAGGGAAGAAGCGAGAGUGACGGUACCUGCAGAAAAAGCGCCGGCUAACUACGUGCCAGCAGCCGCGGUAAUACGUAGGGCGCAAGCGUUAUCCGGAAUUAUUGGGCGUAAAGAGCUCGUAGGCGGUUUGUCGCGUCUGCUGUGAAAUCCCGAGGCUCAACCUCGGGCCUGCAGUGGGUACGGGCAGACUAGAGUGCGGUAGGGGAGAUUGGAAUUCCUGGUGUAGCGGUGGAAUGCGCAGAUAUCAGGAGGAACACCGAUGGCGAAGGCAGAUCUCUGGGCCGUAACUGACGCUGAGGAGCGAAAGGGUGGGGAGCAAACAGGCUUAGAUACCCUGGUAGUCCACCCCGUAAACGUUGGGAACUAGUUGUGGGGUCCAUUCCACGGAUUCCGUGACGCAGCUAACGCAUUAAGUUCCCCGCCUGGGGAGUACGGCCGCAAGGCUAAAACUCAAAGGAAUUGACGGGGACCCGCACAAGCGGCGGAGCAUGCGGAUUAAUUCGAUGCAACGCGAAGAACCUUACCAAGGCUUGACAUACACGAGAACACCGUAGAAAUACGGGACUCUUUGGACACUCGUGAACAGGUGGUGCAUGGUUGUCGUCAGCUCGUGUCGUGAGAUGUUGGGUUAAGUCCCGCAACGAGCGCAACCCUCGUUCUAUGUUGCCAGCACGUAAUGGUGGGAACUCAUGGGAUACUGCCGGGGUCAACUCGGAGGAAGGUGGGGAUGACGUCAAAUCAUCAUGCCCCUUAUGUCUUGGGCUUCACGCAUGCUACAAUGGCCGGUACAAAGGGCUGCAAUACCGCGAGGUGGAGCGAAUCCCAAAAAGCCGGUCCCAGUUCGGAUUGAGGUCUGCAACUCGACCUCAUGAAGUCGGAGUCGCUAGUAAUCGCAGAUCAGCAACGCUGCGGUGAAUACGUUCCCGGGUCUUGUACACACCGCCCGUCAAGUCAUGAAAGUCGGUAACACCUGAAGCCGGUGGCCUAACCCUUGUGGAGGGAGCCGUCGAAAGGUGGAUUCCAGGC